rnacentral:rRNA from 1 species
AUUGAACGCUGGCGGCAUGCCUUACACAUGCAAGUCGAACGGUAACAGGUCUUCGGAUGCUGACGAGUGGCGAACGGGUGAGUAAUACAUCGGAACGUGCCCGAUCGUGGGGGAUAACGGAGCGAAAGCUUUGCUAAUACCGCAUACGAUCUACGGAUGAAAGCAGGGGACCGCAAGGCCUUGCGCGGACGGAGCGGCCGAUGGCAGAUUAGGUAGUUGGUGGGAUAAAAGCUUACCAAGCCGACGAUCUGUAGCUGGUCUGAGAGGACGACCAGCCACACUGGGACUGAGACACGGCCCAGACUCCUACGGGAGGCAGCAGUGGGGAAUUUUGGACAAUGGGCGCAAGCCUGAUCCAGCCAUGCCGCGUGCAGGAUGAAGGCCUUCGGGUUGUAAACUGCUUUUGUACGGUAACGAAAGACUCUUUCUAAUAAAGAGGUCCAUGACGGUACCGUAAGAAUAAGCACCGGCUAACUACGUGCCAGCAGCCGCGGUAAC